UUGUCUACUAUUAGUAAGGAAACUACGGAGUGUCACGGGGUAUCAACUGGAGUAGACUGAAAAUAUACUUUUAACCAAACAGGAGCAUAAAGUAUUUGUGAAAUCGCCCUUUUAUUUUUCUUUUGGUAAGGUGAAUUCGCCAUUUUUUCAUUUUGGUAAAGUGAAAUCGCCAUUUUAUUAUAUUGCUGCAUUAAUAUGUUCAAUGCCCAAGUUAAACAGUGAGUUAAUCACUUUCUUGGUCAGAACAUUUGGCCGUGCAAAUCCACCCAUUCAACAUGUUUGUAUAAGAAAGAGGAAGAAAGAAAACUAAUAACAAGGAAAUAGAAUCCAUGGCUGCUGAGGUAGUUGUGUCGGUUGUGAUGCAGAAACUCACCAACAUGCUGGUUCAAGAAUCGACGAUCUCCGACGAGAUGAUAGAUCAGGCUGAGGGCCUCAGAAUAAGAUUCAGAGAAAUGCAAAGAUACUUGAGAGAUGCGGAAAGCAAACAAGAAAGCUACGAAGAUGUUAGGAAGUGGAUGGCAGAGUUUCUGGGCAUAGCGUAUGAUUUGGAGGACUUCGUCGACAUUUUUGUCCUCGAAAGAACGCGACGGAGGAGAUCGAGCUUCAUCGGCUACAUUGCGACAUUGGAAGGCCUGAAGGCUACUCUGAAACUCUGCAGCGAGAUGAAAGAAAUAGAAGGCAAAAUCUCGGAUUAUAUGUCCAAGUUUAGCCAAAUAAACCAGCGCCUUACUCUCUCAAUGGACAAGGGGCCAAUUUUGCGAAAGCAAAAUGAUCUGCCUGAGGACCUGCCCUCCCACCUGAGGCCUUGCCUUCUGUAUCUGGGAAUGUUUCCAAAAGAAGUGGACAUACCCGUGAGAAGAUUGUUUCAUCUAUGGCUUGCAGAAGGAUUUGUGAAACAGUCGCCUGGAAUGUCUCCAGAGGAUUUGGUGGAGGAAUAUCUAGCAGAACUGGUGAGAAGAGAAAUGAUUCUUGUGUUUAGUUUCAGGUCAGAUGGAAGUGCAAAGACAUGCCGUAUGCCGGAAAAGCUUCGGCAUGUCCUUUCACUCAAAGCUGAGGAAAUUGGUCUGUUUUAUAUCCAUGGGAAAUUAGCUUCUCGUGCACCGGCAUCAUCAGUCUCUGAUCCCCAGUUUGCAGUUCGUCGUGUGGUUGAGCAUGCUGACAUUAAAGACUACCCAGGUGAGACUGAGUUUUAUGUCAAAAAUCUGCGCUCUUAUAUUUCCUUUAACACCCAAAAGAAGGAUUUGCAAGCAAUCCAAAUUGGGAAGUUUGUGAGCAAGAUUAUUGGUAAAAGAGGAUAUGCAUUACUUAGGGUGCUUGAUCUUGAAGGGGUUUAUAAACCUCAGUUGCCUGAAGAGCUGGGGUUUCUUUACCACUUGAGGUAUCUGGGUUUGAGGUGGACCUUCUCGGAUGCUCUUCCUACAUCUGUGGGGCACCUACCCUACCUAGAGACCCUGGAUGUCAAGCACACUUAUAUAAGAACUCUCCCAAGUACCAUUUGGAAAAUGAAGCUUCUGCGGCAUCUAUACUUGAAUGAUAUUCGGUUGGACAUGUCUGUGCAUAGACAUAGCACUAAUCCUCUGACCCAACUUCAGACAUUGUGGGGGUUAUUGGUGGACAAGAAGACCCCCGUGAAGGAUGGUCUGAACAGGUUGGUUAAUCUCAGAAAAUUGGGUCUCACAUGCCACUCAAUCUCCACGGAAGGAAUAGGCCAGUGGAUCUUAAGACUAACAGGCCUCAGGUCCUUAAAGUUGAGAUGUAAGAAUGAAAUAGGCGAACCUUCAUCACUCCAUCUACCGUCUUUGGCGAAUCUCCAGCACCUCACACAUGUUUAUUUGCUGGGUAGAUUACCAAAGUUAAAUGAAAAGUUCGAAUUCCCACCUCAACUCAGAGUCCUAACUUUAUCAGUCUCAAAACUAGAGGAUGAUCCUAUGCCAAAGCUAGCGCGGCUUAAAAACUUGUCCGUGCUGAGGCUUUUGGCUAAUUCUUACACUGGAAAAAAAAUGGAUUGCCCUGAAGGAGGGUUUGGUUCACUUCGAGUUCUGAGACUAUGGAUGCUGGAAAAUCUAGAGGAAUGGGAGGUGGCAGAAGGAGCUAUGAAGAACCUCCAAGAAUUGGAAAUCCGAUGCUGCAGUAGCCUUAAAGCAGUUCCAGAUAGAGUGCUGAAAUCUAGUACCUUUGAAAAAUUGAAUCUAAUAAAUAUGUCGCCGGCAUUUGUUGCAGAUUGUGAAGCUAAAAAGCAGGAGAAAACAACCAUGACCAAGGAAACAUGGGAAUUCUAAAGGUAGCCCAUUCUGCUGCUCGGCAUUCAUGGUAUGGCAUGAAGUGCUGCAACUGCACUUGCACUAAUAUUCAUGAACAUCUAUUUCAAGUUGUCAGCGGCAUGAACAAGUUCCUCAGCUGUACUUUGAUACAAUCUUCUCACGAGUCACGACAACUGCACUUUUAUGGUCCAUACAAAGAAGGCAAACAACCCAAAAGCAGGAACAGUGUUUUGCGAAUCCAAAUUAAAUGCAAAAGUUCCAGAUACGAGGCUAAUCUUGUUGAAAGUUCCAUAAUGUGACCGAAUAUGAGGCUUGGCUUUCAAUUCUUCAGCUUGCAAAGGCAAUGGGAGUUCGAAAGCUCAAAAUUCAGAGUGAUUCAUUACUGGUCGUGAACUAGGAAAAGAGUGAAUAAAGACUGCAAUGGCCAUGUGGUGAGGAAUAAAGAAAUUAUUAUGCAAGGUGCCACUAUCUUUUGGAGGAAAAGAAGAGAGAAAGCAAAUCCUGGAGUUGCUGUACCACUAGCAGCAAAUAAAUAAAGAAGACUAAAGUGCUGGACCCAAACAUAAAAGUAAAUAACAAGAAGUGGAUACAACAAUGAAGAAUAAACAAUUGCAGUGGGUUGAGGCAGAGCUACAGCAAAACAUCUAUAAAUAGAGAGGUCUUCCAGCUAUAAAAAUACGCCCCGGAGCUCUCAAGUAAUCUCAGAGAGUUCUCUCUCUUCUCCCUCUCAUGUAUACCUCAGUUUUCCAUAUCUUUUUGAGUUGCACAAACAUUAUGUGUAAAUAACUUUCAAGUCUAAGGAUUCGAUGUAACCCUAGUAAGAAUAUUUCAUGUUAUUUAGUUAUUUAAAACCAGAUUUCAGAUUAUAUGGUUGAGUUCUUAUUCACUGUUUUAUUGUGCCUAUAUUCAAAAGAUUAUGAUUGAUCACCAUUAGAAUUUGUCUAUAGGUUAUUUGAUGCAGGUUUGGAGCAGAUACCAUGCUGGAACUUGACAGUUGCUCUGUGAAUAAGAAGUGUGAAUGCCUAAGCAGAUACCAUGUCUAGAGUUUGCAUGAUCAUUUAGUCUUUUUUGUUCCCAAUGGGUUUCUAAUUAGUUGAUCUAAGUUGGAUACCACAACUAGGUUGCAUGUUAGAAAUACUUGAUUAAAGCCAGAUAACAUGGAUAAUCAUACUAAAGUAAGAACUGAUCUUCAAUGCAUGUCUGACAAUCUGGAAAUGAAUAACUAAUGACUGAAAUAGUAUUACUAGUGGUGAAAUCGUUUCCUUAGUGUUUUCUAUCUUGAUUCCUCAGAAAAUUAACGUUAGUCUUAUUUAUUCUUA